GAGGCCCCCACCACCAUUGAGGUUUGUGGAGGGUUGAUAUGCUGCCUUACCCUAAUAAUAAUAACUAUUAUUACUUAAAUGUUACAUAAAUGUUAUUGGAAAUUCUGGCAUAUGUUCUCAUUGUUCUUGGUAAAUAUUAGGAUUAGUUUUGUAUUUGACUUUGAGGAUGCUAUUUUUAAUAAAUGAUAUAUGUAUGAUACAUUAAGCUCAUUUCAAAAUGGGGUUGUUUACUUGGAUGAAUAACUUCCAUGACAUUCCUCUUUUUAAGCCUUGUGGCUUAUAUUCUCUUCAUUUCUACUGAGGAAAUGUGAACUUGUUUAUGCUCGUAUUAUUUAUAAUUUUCGUCAGGAUAUAUAUUUCUUCUCAUUUACUCAAUAGUAGUCUCUAUUUUUUUCUCCUACCUGUGUUUGAGCCAUAUCAACUGUUUACUUGUUAAUAUGUUAUUAAAAAAAAUUCUGAUCCUUAAGAAAACAAUAUUUUGUAUAAGGCUAGUUCAUUUAUUGUUGAACAUGUUUGAUUCAAUUAUUUGUGAAUGCAAGAGUGAGUGUGAAUUUAUAUUCAGAAGCAUCUCUUUUUGCUAGUUAAAGAAACUACAGAAUGAUUUCUUCAUGUACUUCUCGCAUAUAUUGUAGGUAGAUCGAGGAGUUGUUCAUACUCUAUUUAUCCACUUACUAUUUGCUUAAGGAUGCUUUCAAAUUUCAAAUGCAGGUUGAUGAAGAUGAGAUUUACUGGAGACAUAGAAAGGAAAGAUGGAGUUGGAAUGCUCCCACUCGCAUAAUAUCUCACUUAGCUCAAUGUUUUCGUGAGUACAUUUUUCUCUUCAAGCUUCUUUGCAUUAUUGUAAGUUUCGUCUUAGUUGAUUUUUGCUUUGAGUGAACGAGAAAAUGCAACUGUUCGAGCCAAAUACUUAAAAUAGCAGAUUUUCAUGCUUACAUUAGGGCAUUUUCCGUUUAAUUGUGGUGAAACUUAUCAAUGAGGACUGAGUUGGGAGGUAGCACUCUGGCCGUUUAAUUUUGGGAGAAUCUUUUUGUAAUUUCAAGCCUAUGUAUGAUAAUGAAGUUUCCUUUCUAUUUAACUUUAUUUUUUUGGGUAAGCCUAUGAGCAUUGAGAAGUGUGAGGGUUUGAUCAUGUUGUUUGGGCCUAUCAAAUGGAGAAAAACAUGUUUUUGUUUGUUCGUCCUAUCCAGGAUUCAUUUCUUGCCAGACAAUAGUUGAAAAGACUUAUCAUUUGUUUCAAGCGGUGCAGCUAUUUAAUUAUAGUAAUUAAUAAGAAACCGUAAUCUGCAAUUAUGCAUCCUAGUAUGUGUCUCACUGUUAUCACAGACUCAGUGAACAUGUUUCACGUUUAUUCAGGAAGAGAAACUUCAAAGGCUUCAAGAACAGCUGCAAGUACCUUAUGAUGAGACUAGCUCUGAUCAUCAAGUACUUAUUUUUUUCAUGCAGCUAUCUAGCUUUCUUAUUUAUUUAAUUUCUCUGAAUUCUUCCUCAGGACGCGUUUAGAAAAUUCAAUUCAUGAGUAGAGUAGAAUUCUUCCCAUUCAGAUUGUUUUAAGCUGGUAAUCAAAAUUACUUUCAAAAUUCUAGAAUUUUCCUGAGGCAUUUUCUUUUGUUUAGGGCGAUAAUGAUAUUUUCCUUAAACUAUGAUGAUGUUGGAAAGUUCUUUCAUUUAUGGUUGCAAUUUCUGUUUUUGGUAUGGUUAAUGACGUUCUUCACUUGAUUUUUACAAAGGUUUAAGCUCGAGAGAAAGAGAGGCAGAAAGAUAUGAUUUCUUUAUGCCAUUUCCGACCCUUUGUUAGUGAAAUGUCUCUCUUCUCUCUAGUUUUUCAUUCUUUGAAGUUAUUUAUAAUUCAUUUAUUAGACAGGAGUGGUAACUAUCAAAUUAUCCCAAAACCCUAAAAACCAAUUUUAUCAAGAUCACUUGGUUGCUUUUGUUAACCAUGUUAUUUCACUUGGUUUUUUCAAUGGUUGAAACUCUAGAUAGAGACAUAGAGGGAAAGUGAUUUCUUUAUGUCUUUCCCCCACCCUUUAUCACUGACACAUCUGCCUUCUUUCUUUCCCUGCAUUUUCAAUCUUUGUAUUUCUUUAUAAUUGAUGUAAGUAAAAAUGUUGUAUUUUUUGAGCCUAGAAAGACUAUCCCAAAAUCCCAAAAGUAUAUUGUGGCAACUAUUUCAUUCAUUUGUGUCGGUAAUGACAUUUUCCUAAUCCCAAUCUUGUUUAUUCAAGAAUGUUUGAUCUCGAUGAACUGAGAUUUUCAUUGGCUUUAUAAACCCAAGAGUUUGAUAUGGGCUGCGAAAACUGCAUAGUCCUUGCAAUAUGAAUUCUAGUUGCCUAUAAUUUGUAAAUCAGGAAGAGGCCCCGAUUUGUCGGAUCAAUAUGAAAUUCUUUAUUCACAAUGUAACAUCAGGAUGCUAGAAAAAUAAAGUUGAGCCUUUAGUUUCUUUAUGGUUACAUUAUCAUUGUUGAUUAGUGGAUGGGGUCUAAUAUAAUAUUGAACUAUCAUUUUCAGUGGAAAGUGACACGUUGAGAACUGUUAGGUUGGGAUUAGACUAUUUGUUUUCAAGUUGAGUUUGGAGUCCCCAUGCAUAAUGCCCCUUCCUUGAUUGUUCUAUUAUAUUAUCAUUAUGCGAUUUUUUAGGUGAUAAAUUAAAGAAACACAUUUUUAAAUAUAUAUUUUCUUUUGUUUUAUGUUAAAUAAAUAUAAAUGUAAAGAUGAAAAGAUAU
rnacentral:lncRNA from 1 species